GACUUAAAUUUUUGCUUAAAUGGUCUCAUAUGGCUUGAUCGGACUCCUCAUCCUGCUCUAAAUGAGGUCAAGUAUUGCUAUCAACCAAUUAAAAUUUCGUUCACCAAUGGUGUAAUUAAGAUUACAAACACCAAUUUCUUUCAAACAACAGAAGAUCGAGAGUUUAAUUGGGUGAUUGAAGGUGAUGGAUCUAAACUUGAUUCUGGAACUCUCAGUCUACCAACAUUAGAGUUUAAUUGGGUGAUUGA